CGCUGGCGGCAGGCCUAACACAUGCAAGUCGAACGGUAACAGGAAGCAGCUUGCUGCUUCGCUGACGAGUGGCGGACGGGUGAGUAAUGUCUGGGAAACUGCCUGAUGGAGGGGGAUAACUACUGGAAACGGUAGCUAAUACCGCAUAACGUCGCAAGACCAAAGAGGGGGACCUUCGGGCCUCUUGCCAUCGGAUGUGCCCAGAUGGGAUUAGCUAGUAGGUGGGGUAACGGCUCACCUAGGCGACGAUCCCUAGCUGGUCUGAGAGGAUGACCAGCCACACUGGAACU
rnacentral:rRNA from 1 species